GAUGAUAGAGAAUUCGUAAUUAAUAUUGGAAGCAAAAUACAAAAACAAAAAAAAGCUCAAACCUAGAAUCUAUGAGAACCAUUUGAAGCAAAUACGAUACUAAAAAGAUUCCAAACAUGCCAAUAGACUCUAGCCUAAUGAAAAAAAGCAUUGACUUGUAGACUAGAGGUCUUAAGUUCGAACCUCCAUAGCCUCUUGGUUGUGUGUGUGUGUGUGAAAACUUCCCUCCCGUGUAGUUUAAACUAUCGUUUGUACUUAAAAAAAAAAAAAAUUCCAAAAAUAUCCUCAAAAGUUAAAAUGCUCUUCAGCCUAAAAGGUCUAUAUAUGUCAUUAAUUAGUCGUGAGUUUGACUCAUAGAAACCACGUAUUAUAGGCCCAAAUAUAAUAUCAGAGCCCAAAUAUGGAAAAGUUU
rnacentral:lncRNA from 1 species